rnacentral:rRNA from 1 species
GUGGGGAAUUUUGGACAAUGGGCGAAAGCCUGAUCCAGCCAUGCCGCGUGCAGGAUGAAGGCCUUCGGGUUGUAGACUGCUUUUGUACGGAACGAAAAGACUCCUUCUAAUAAAGGGGGUCCAUGACGGUACCGUAAGAAUAAGCACCGGCUAACUACGUGCCAGCAGCCGCGGUAAUACGUAGGGUGCAAGCGUUAAUCGGAAUUACUGGGCGUAAAGCGUGCGCAGGCGGUUAUAUAAGACAGAUGUGAAAUCCCCGGGCUCAACCUGGGAACUGCAUUUGUGACUGUAUAGCUAGAGUACGGUAGAGGGGGAUGGAAUUCCGCGUGUAGCAGUGAAAUGCGUAGAUAUGCGGAGGAACACCGAUGGCGAAGGCAAUCCCCUGGACCUGUACUGACGCUCAUGCACGAAAGCGUGGGGAGCAAACAGGAUUAGAUACCCUAGUAGUCC